rnacentral:rRNA from 1 species
GAUGAACGCUGGCGGCGUGCCUAAUACAUGCAAGUCGAGCGAACAGACGAGGAGCUUGCUCCUCUGACGUUAGCGGCGGACGGGUGAGUAACACGUGGAUAACCUACCUUUAAGACUGGGAUAACUUCGGGAAACCGGAGCUAAUACCGGAUAAUAUAUUGAACCGCAUGGUUCAAUAGUGAAAGACGGUUUUGCUGUCACUUAUAGAUGGAUCCGCGCCGCAUUAGCUAGUUGGUAAGGUAACGGCUUACCAAGGCGACGAUGCGUAGCCGACCUGAGAGGGUGAUCGGCCACACUGGAACUGAGACACGGUCCAGACUCCUACGGGAGGCAGCAGUAGGGAAUCUUCCGCAAUGGGCGAAAGCCUGACGGAGCAACGCCGCGUGAGUGAUGAAGGUCUUCGGAUCGUAAAACUCUGUUAUUAGGGAAGAACAAAUGUGUAAGUAACUAUGCACGUCUUGACGGUACCUAAUCAGAAAGCCACGGCUAACUACGU